AUCCAUCCCUCUAAGGGUUCAUAUGGGUGCGAGUAUAGAGUUUCUGUCGCAUCCGGCUGCACUGUUCUGGUGGCCACAGCCUGUGCCGCUUCAUCCGCUUUCUGAUUUCCUACGCAUGUGUCUGUCUGGUGCGAACGUACGUGAUAAAAUGAUGUCUUGUGUCCAGCUAGGGCACGUUCCGCAAGUUGGUCGACUAUGGUCCCAAACAUCUCGCGGUGCUUGCUUACGUGGAGUGACUCGGGCUCCAUAAUGGCGCGACGGAGGAUGAACAGACUGACAAGACUGUCGGUGUAGACCCGCAGGUGAGGUGUGUCGCGAUGGAGGCGGAGCGCCGUGCGUAUGGCGGAUGAUUCACACCGAAGGAUGGUGCUCAGGGGUGUGUUGAAGGCGAUGUCUUCAUCAAUGUGCGUGGCGCGGUUGUCGCUGGCGUCCCAGACCGCCGCUCCCAGGCCCGUGUACUCUCGUGUGUGUGGUACUUUGCUCCCGUCGGUAAAGACCGCGGAGCCUCGUGUGUGUGCGAGCGGGACAUAAGCGCGGUAGAGGGUUGCAAGCUCCGUAGGGGAUGGUAGAGUGGGGGCAUCGCGAGGGGGCUGGGGCUGGGGCGUCUGGCUGCUCUGGGCGAGGAUGCGCCGUUUUAACUUCCGGGGGGUUGGGGGCCACGGGUUGGGUGUGUCUGGGUCCGUGGGGGGUUUACGGGUAGCUAGGUGCGGGGUGUGCCCGAGCGCGUCCGCUAGGGCGAGUGCAAGCCCACUCUCCAGGGCCUGAUUGAGGAGGAGGCGGCCCCUUUCGUUUGUCACGCACAGGAGGUGGAGUCCACGUCGGUGAGCGGGGAGCUCCUGCGGCUGGCCUAGGCCUAGGCCUGCCCAGGCGUGCGCCGGUUUGAUGUGCCCCAGGUCGUGGACCAGUGGGUGCUGGAGCCAGGCUGUGUAGCCGCUGGUGUCGCCAUACGGGACCACCACGACGGACAGGUGCGGUGUGUGCGGUGUUGCCGCCUCGGCGCUGGCGACCGCCCACGCCAUGGCCAGGCUGGUGUGCUCGGGUUGUGGGGGUGGGUGAACGAAGGAGAUUCCAUCUAGCGUGCGGCUGUAGCAGUCGUGGGCGGCCCCGAACUCGGAAUCUUGCGGGUGGGUAGUGUAGUAUGCUGGGAUGUCGCAGUGGGCGUUGAGGGGAGAUGCGAAUGCCUCCGUCUGGAACUUGAUAUGGGACGUGAGCGUGGACAUCAGGUCGGGGCAGAGGGUUACCUCGUGCGCUGGGUUGGUGGAACUCUCCUUGUGGCGUUUGCUGGGGCGGUACCGUAUAAUCAGGGAGGCCAGAGCGGCAGCAAACCUUUCCGGGGGGUGAGUGGGGUUAAGGGUCCUGUACCGGGCGUGGAGUAGGGCAAGUCGGGCAGCGCUAACGGUUCCUAUGCAGCGUCCGUCCGGGCCGUAGACCCUGGCGGGGGGGUCGGGGUCUUGGGGGAGGCCGGACGGCGUGCCUGUGGCGCUGCCCGGCUCACGUGUGCCCAUUUGAAUACAGUAUUGACCUGUCGGGUGGAUGUCUGUGUCCGGGUUACAGGAUUUGACGUCGAUGGUGCUGCACCGGAGGAUCGCACGUUUGCGUGCGGCUUCGCUGGGUGCUGGGUCUCGCCAUCUGCCCUGGCGCUGCUUACUG
rnacentral:lncRNA from 1 species